GUUGGGAUAGCUCAGUUGGUAGAGCAGAGGACUGA
rnacentral:tRNA from 5 species